GCAGCCGGGGAGCGGCAGCUGAGCUCAGACCCACGCCGGCACGCUCCAGCCGCAAGGACUCCCGAUCGCCACCCAACUCGCUCACCGCCUCUCCCAGAACUUCUACUUAAAAAUCCCCAGCCCCCCGAGACCUACCACUUUUGACCCGAACAAAAAGCGUGUGUGCUGACGAGAGGGGGUGGGAAAGAGCGAAGCAGGAAUCCGCGCGGCCCAGCCGCCUCCUCCCUCGGAGCGCGCCCAAGUCUGCGGCCUCCGGCUCCGGGACGCUCCCCUCCCACCGACAGCCCGGCCGCAGCUGGAAGUUAGCGAAGCGCGCUCCGGGCCCGUCAAUCAAGCGCGGCCUCCCGCCUCCACCUUCCCUCCCCCUCCCCCACCCCAAAAUAAAAUAAAAGGAAAAAGAAGUAAUUUGGGAAGUCGUCUGGAGAGGGGAUUCGUCCCGGACCCGGGGAGGCCGCGCGCACCGGACUGACCGCCGGCACCGAAGCAGGCGGGCCGGCUCAGCAGCCCCCCCACCACCGGAUCCUCGCCGCGCGCCCUCCGCGCUCCGGCUUCCCCCGCACCGGUCGCCGCCGCCGCGGGCCACGCACUCCACGCCAGGCCCGUGGCCCGGCUCG